rnacentral:rRNA from 1 species
AGCGAACGCUGGCGGCAGGCCUAACACAUGCAAGUCGAACGAACUCUUCGGAGUUAGUGGCGGACGGGUGAGUAACACGUGGGAACGUGCCUUUAGGUUCGGAAUAACUCAGGUAAACUUGAGCUAAUACCGGAUGUGCCCUUCGGGGGAAAGAUUUAUCGCCUUUAGAGCGGCCCGCGUCUGAUUAGCUAGUUGGUGAGGUAAAGGCUCACCAAGGCGACGAUCAGUAGCUGGUCUGAGAGGAUGAUCAGCCACAUUGGGACUGAGACACGGCCCAAACUCCUACGGGAGGCAGCAGUGGGGAAUCUUGCGCAAUGGGCGAAAGCCUGACGCAGCCAUGCCGCGUGAAUGAUGAAGGUCUUAGGAUUGUAAAAUUCUUUCACCGGGGACGAUAAUGACGGUACCCGGAGAAGAAGCCCCGGCUAACUUCGUG